rnacentral:rRNA from 1 species
UGGGGAAUAUUGGACAAUGGGCGCAAGCCUGAUCCAGCCAUGCCGCGUGAGUGAUGAAGGCCCUAGGGGUGUAAAGCUCUUUCACCGGUGAAGAUAAUGACGGUAACCGGAGAAGAAGCCCCGGCUAACUUCGUGCCAGCAGCCGCGGUAAUACGAAGGGGGCUAGCGUUGUUCGGAUUUACUGGGCGUAAAGCGCACGUAGGCGGACUAUUAAGUCAGGGGUGAAAUCCCGGGGCUCAACCCCGGAACUGCCUUUGAUACUGGUAGUCUUGAGUUCGAGAGAGGUGAGUGGAAUUCCGAGUGUAGAGGUGAAAUUCGUAGAUAUUCGGAGGAACACCAGUGGCGAAGGCGGCUCACUGGCUCGAUACUGACGCUGAGGUGCGAAAGCGUGGGGAGCAAACAGG